GCCAGGAUGGUCUAAUCGGUUAAGGCGUCGCCCCGGACCGGCGAGGGUGGCGGGUUCAAUCCCCGCUCCUGGCC
rfam:Ixodes scapularis strain Wikel colony gcontig_1108378951354, whole genome shotgun sequence.